UGGGGAAUAUUGCACAAUGGGGGAAACCCUGAUGCAGCAACGCCGCGUGAGUGAUGAAGGCCUUCGGGUUGUAAAGCUCUGUCUUCAGGGACGAUAAUGACGGUACCUGAGGAGGAAGCCACGGCUAACUACGUGCCAGCAGCCGCGGUAAUACGUAGGUGGCAAGCGUUGUCCGGAUUUACUGGGCGUCAAGGGAGCGUAGGCGGAUACUUAAGUGGGAUGUGAAAUACCUGGGCUUAACUUGGGUGCUGCAUUCCGAACUGGGUGUCUAGAGUGUUGGAGAGGAAAGUGGAAUUCCUAGUGUAGCGGUGAAAUGCGUAGAGAUUAGGAAGAACACCAGUGGCGAAGGCGACUUUCUGGACAAUAACUGACGCUGAGGCUCGAAAGCGUGGGGAGCAAACA
rnacentral:rRNA from 1 species